rnacentral:tRNA from 1 species
AGUAAAGUCAGCUAAAUUAAGCUCCUGGGCCCAUACCCCAAAAAUGUUGGUUAAACUCCAUCCUUUACCA